ACACCUUCCUCCUCCUCCUCCUCCUCCUCCAGGAUGGCAGACAAGGACGAGGAGGAGAAGCGCAAGCAGUUCAAGGAGGACUUCUUCCCCAACGUUCUCGAGCCUGCGUUGACCCGGCUGGAGAAGAGGCUGACGGAGAAGCAGUGGUUCGUCGGAGACAAGCUGACCUGGGCCGACUUCAUCAUCAGCCUCGGCUUCGGACACGUCAAGGAGAGAAAGCCGGAGGUCUUCGAGAAGUUCCCCGCCGUCGCCGGACACAUCGAGAAGGUCCGAGAACUUCCUAAGAUUAAGGAGUGGAUCAAGAGGAGACCCGUGACCCCAUACUAAGACAUGUAGAUACGUAGGAUAUAGAAAUAGGAUUUAUAUAUAUAUUAAGGAGAGGUAAUGUGUUUACGGGAAGAUCGGGAUAGGAUAGAGAGAGAGAGAGAGAGA